CAGCCGCCGCGGUAAUACGGAGGAUGCAAGCGUUAUCCGGAAUGAUUGGGCGUAAAGCGUCUGUAGGUGGUUUAUUAAGUCUACUGUUAAAGAUCAGGGCUUAACCCUGAGUCGGCAGUAGAAACUAAUGAGCUUGAGUACGGUAGGGGCAGAGGGAAUUCCCGGUGUAGCGGUGAAAUGCGUAGAGAUCGGGAAGAACACCAAUGGCGAAAGCACUCUGCUGGGCCGAAACUGACACUCAGAGACGAAAGCUAGGGGAGCGAAUGGGAUUAGAUACCCCCGUAGUCCCUGUCUCUUAUAC
rnacentral:rRNA from 1 species